rnacentral:rRNA from 2 species
GCAUAUCAAUAAGCGGAGGAAAAGAAACCAACAGGGAUUGCCUCAGUAACGGCGAGUGAAGCGGCAACAGCUCAAAUUUGAAAGCUGGCCCCCCCGGGGGUCCGCGUUGUAAUUUGUAGAGGAUGAUUCGGCGAGGGCUCCCGCCUAAGUCCCCUGGAACGGGGCGUCAUAGAGGGUGAGAAUCCCGUAUGCGGUGGGCUGCCUUAGCCAUGUGAAUCUCCUUCGACGAGUCGAGUUGUUUGGGAAUGCAGCUCUAAAUGGGAGGUAAAUUUCUUCUAAAGCUAAAUACCGGCCAGAGACCGAUAGCGCACAAGUAGAGUGAUCGAAAGAUGAAAAGCACUUUGGAAAGAGAGUUAAAAAGUACGUGAAAUUGUUGAAAGGGAAGCGCUUGCAGCCAGACUUGUCCGCAGUUGCUCAGCCGGUCUCCUGACCGGCGCACUCUUCUGCGGCCAGGCCAGCAUCAGUUCGGGCGGUCGGAUAAAGGCCCCGGGAACGUAGCUCCUCUCGGGGAGUGUUAUAGCCCGGGGUGGAAUGCGGCCAGCCUGGACUGAGGAUCUCGCUUCGGCUAGGAUGCUGGCGUAAUGGCUGUAAGCGGCCCGUCUUGAAACACGGACC